AGCGCCAGGGAAUUACGAGCAAUGCUUAAAACCCAAAGGAUUUGACGGUAUCCCAUCCACCUAGAGGAGCCUGUUCUAUAAUCGAUAACCCCCGCUACACCCAACCACCCCUAGCUUAUCAGCCUGUAUACCUCCGUCGAAAGCCUACCAUGUGAAUGUUUUCAGUAAGCCCAAUGACCCCCAUCAAAACGUCAGGUCAAGGUGCAGCUCACGGAGUGGAAAGCAAUGGGCUACAGUUUCUAAACUAGAACAUACGAAAAAUUAGGUGAAACCCUAGUCAUGAAGGCGGAUUUAGUAGUAAAAAGAAAAUAGAGUGUUCUUUUUAACUUGGCCCUGGGAUGUGUACACACCGCCCGUCACCCUCUUCGACCAUUAUUAAGACUGCUCCCUAACUCCAUCCCCACACCCCUAGAAGAGGUAAGUCGUAACACGGUAAGUGUACUGGAAAGUGCACUUGGCUAAUAA
rnacentral:rRNA from 1 species